GGGCGAUUAGCUCAGUUGGUAGAGCAUCUCCUUUACACGGAGAGGGUCGGCGGUUCGAACCCGUCAUCGCCCACCA
rnacentral:tRNA from 1 species